GAGGAAGGUCCCCCACAUUGGAACUGAGACACGGUCCAAACUCCUACGGGAGGCAGCAGUGAGGAAUAUUGGUCAAUGGGCGCAGGCCUGAACCAGCCAAGUAGCGUGAAGGAUGACUGCCCUAUGGGUUGUAAACUUCUUUUAUAUGGGAAUAAAGUUUUCCACGUGUGGAAUUUUGUAUGUACCAUAUGAAUAAGGAUCGGCUAACUCCGUGCCAGCAGCCGCGGUAAUACGGAGGAUCCGAGCGUUAUCCGGAUUUAUUGGGUUUAAAGGGAGCGUAGGUGGACAGUUAAGUCAGUUGUGAAAGUUUGCGGCUCAACCGUAAAAUUGCAGUUGAUACUGGCUGUCUUGAGUACAGUAGAGGUGGGCGGAAUUCGUGGUGUAGCGGUGAAAUGCUUAGAUAUCACGAAGAACUCCGAUUGCGAAGGCAGCUCACUGGACUGCAACUGACACUGAUGCUCGAAAGUGUGGGUAUCAAACAGGAUUAGAUACCCUGGUAGUCCACACAGUAAACGAUGAAUACUCGCUGUUUGCGAUAUACAGUAAGCGGGCCAAGCGAAAGCAUUAAGUAUUCCACCUGGGG
rnacentral:rRNA from 1 species